AGCGAACGCUGGCGGCAUGCCUAACACAUGCAAGUCGAACGAGACCUUCGGGUCUAGUGGCGCACGGGUGCGUAACGCGUGGGAACCUGCCCUUAGGUUCGGAAUAACUCCCCGAAAGGGGUGCUAAUACCGGAUAAUGUCUUCGGACCAAAGAUUUAUCGCCUUUGGUUGGGCCCGCGUUGGAUUAGCUAGUUGUUAGGGUAAAAGCCUACCAAGGCGACGAUCCAUAGCUGGUCUGAGAGGCUGAUCAGCCACACUGGGACUGAGACACGGCCCAGACUCCUACGGGAGGCAGCAGUGGGGAAUAUUGGACAAUGGGCGAAAGCCUGAUCCAGCAAUGCCGCGUGAGUGAUGAAGGCCUUAGGGUUGUAAAGCUCUUUUACCCGGGAUGAUAAUGACAGUACCGGGAGAAUAAGCUCCGGCUAACUCCGUG
rnacentral:rRNA from 1 species